CCCAAUGAUAAUUGAAUGGCCGCGGUAUUUUGACCGUGCUAAGGUAGCAUAAUCAAUAGUUUUUUAAUUUAAAGCUGGAAUGAAGGGUUGGAUAAAAAAAUAACUGUCUUUAUUUAAUUUAAUUAGAAUUUUAUAUUUAAGUUAAAAAGCUUAAAUUUUAUUAAAAGACGAGAAGACCCUAUAGAGUUUUAUAAAUAAUUUAAUUAUUAUAUUUAGAAUUAAUUUUAUUAAUUUAGUUAUUUAUUUAAUUGGGGUGAUUUAAAAAUUAAAUUAACUUUUUUUAUAUAUUAACAUUUAUAAAUGAAUACUUGAUCCAUAAAUAAUGAUUAUAAGAUUAAAUUACCUUAGGGAUAACAGCGUUAUUUUUUUUUAGAGUUCAA
rnacentral:rRNA from 1 species